UACGUAGGGGGCAAGCGUUGUCCGGAUUUAUUGGGCGUAAAGAGCGUGUAGGCGGCCAUACAGGUCAGCUGUGAAAACUCGAGGCUCAACCUCGAGACGUCGGUUGAAACCGUAUGGCUAGAGUCCGGAAGAGGAGAGUGGAAUUCCCGGUGUAGCGGUGAAAUGCGCAGAUAUCGGGAAGAACACCAGUGGCGAAGGCGGCUCACUGGCCCGGUACUGACGCUGAGGUGCGAAAGCGUGGGGAGCAAACAGG
rnacentral:rRNA from 1 species